UUUUCAAAUAUUUUCUUCUUUUAUUUUCGCCUCUUGCAUUUUCUUCAGUAUAAUAUUUUAUUUAUAGGUUAUAUCGUUCAGUUUUUAUUUUAGCUGUUCUGUUUUACAGAGAUACUCAUGAAGAGGAGGCGCAGCAACCGUCUACAAGAGCAAAAUCCAGUGAAAGAAUACACAGGAGAGGCCACAGAACCCCCAGCUACUGAUUCACUUCCUCUUACAUCAUAUGCUCCUGAUAUCGCUAAUCCCGGAACUACAAAAAUAGCAAAUAAGAAGGUAUUACUGGAUGACUCAAAAGUAAAAACUUCAGACACGGAUGAAAAAUUGAUAUCAUCUUGCUCUCCGAAAAAACCGAAAAAAUCUAAAUCUAAAAGAAACCUAGAAUGCACAGGAGAAGCCGCAGAACCCCCAAUUACUGAUCUACUUUCCCUUACAUCAAAUUCUUCCGAAAUCUAUAAUCCUGGAACUUCAAAAAGAGCAAACAAGAAUUUACUAAUGGUGGACUCAAAAAGCGAAACUUUUGAUGCUAAUGAAGAAUCGAAACCUUCUUGCCCUCGAAAAAAACCGAAAAAAUCUAAAUCAAAACGAGAAUAUACAGGAGAAGCCACAGAAUCCCCAACAAUUGAUCCAAUCCAUUGUACAUCAAAGGCUCCCGAUAUCUAUAUUUCCGGAAUUACAAAAAGAGCAAAUAAGAAGAUACUACAGGAUGAUUCAGAUGUAAAAACUUCAGACACGUAUGAAAAUUGACAAAAAGAGCAAAUAAGAAGAUACUACUGGAUGACUCAGAAGUAAAACUUCAGACACGUAUGAAAGAUUGAUAUCUUCUUGCUCCCUGAAAAACCGAAAAAAUCUAAAUCAAAAAGAUACCGGUAAGUAGAUGUAAAUUUUUCGUCACUCAACAAUUACGGGCGUAGUCGAUGACGUCAUGCAACAUUAUAAAGCACAUCGUGAUGAUUAAAACUGUAGCAUAAAAGAUACUCAUAUCUCACGCCAUUGUACAUCUAGUUGUACGUGGAAGAUGAUUUGGUAGCAUACACGAGAAUUUGUAGCAGUUCUGUCAUUUUUUAGCCUCGCAUUACAGCACAGUUCCAGUUCGUCAGGACGCUGCACAGUGGAUGUAAUCAACCGGAGAGGUUGGAUAUGAAUUGUUUUACUGAAACUGCAAGCUUUGAUUUACAGUUUGUCACAUUUUAAAUUUUAAGUUGUGUUACUAAAGGAAAAUUUGACAUGAAAUCCAAUGGAGCCACUUUUUUAAUCCCAAAUUGCAGUAUGAACAGAAUAAAAGCGUUUAUAGUUUCCAAAUUUUGUUCGACCUCUCCCAUUGACUCGAUCCACUGUGCGGCGCGCCUCGGGUAUAGCAGUCAGUGCCUAAAAACUCAAAACGCCUUCCUUUCCCUUCGUAUGCAACAGGGUCAUCCAUGAAGCCCAAGAAAUUUCACCCAGGCGUUAAGGAGGCGUCCAUAAUUUGUAUUUUACUUCAUGGAAUAAAUACUCUCUCUCCAUAAAAGGAAGUUCAAUUGAGUCCUAUCGACAAUUUUUAUCUUUUCCUUUUCUAGAGAAUUCACAGGAGAGGCAACAGAACCCCCAGCAACUGACCCACUUUAUCUUACAUCAUAUUCUCCUGAUAUCUUUAAUCCCGGAACUACAAAAAAAGCAAAUAAAAAGGUAUUACUGGAUGACUCAGAAGUCAAAAUUCCAGACACUGAUAAAAAUUUGAUAUUCUCUUGCCCUCCGAAAAAACCGAAAAAUCUAAAUUACAAAGAAACCAGUAAGUAGAUGCAUAACUUUCCGUCAUUAUUCAUUCCUCAAAACAAAACAAAAAUGGUUUAUCGAGUUUUGACCAUUUCUAAAGAAAGUUAACUUAAGAUAAUAUUUGUUUUACUAAAAAAAUUUAAUUACGGAACUGAUACAACUCAAAAUCACAAUAUUUAUUUCUUUAGCAAUUUGCGGCGAGGUCGAUGACGUCAUGCGAA
rnacentral:lncRNA from 1 species